GAGGCCGGUGAUGAGGGCUCAUGUUCGAAUUUCCCACUCAUGAGAUGAGCCCAGAGGCACUACCAUCUGUGGCCGC
ensembl:snoRNA SNORD33 Small nucleolar RNA Z195/SNORD33/SNORD32 family